UACGUAGGGCGCAAGCGUUAUCCGGAAUUAUUGGGCGUAAAGCGCACGUAGGCGGCAUUGCAAGUCGGAUGUGAAAUCUUAUGGCUUAACCAUAAAAGUGCAUCCGAAACUGCAGUGCUUGAGUACUUAAGAGGAUCGCGGAAUUCCCGGUGUAGAGGUGAAAUUCGUAGAUAUCGGGAGGAACACCAGUGGCGAAGGCGGCGAUCUGGGAAGAUACUGACGCUGAGGCGCGAAAGCCAGGGGAGCGAACGGG
rnacentral:rRNA from 1 species